rnacentral:rRNA from 1 species
GCGCACCAGUCGCGAAAACUUGUCAAUGCACGAAAGUGUGAACGGGCUACCCCGAGUGCCGUCCGCUGAGGAUGGCUUUUCUCUGCUGUAAGAAGGCAGAGGAAUAAGGAGAGGGCAAGUCUGGUGUCAACCGCCGCGGUAAUACCAGCUCUCCGAGUGGUAGGGAUGAUUAUUGGGCUUAAAGCGUCCGUAGCUGGCCUUUCAAGUCUCUUGUUAAAUCCAGCGAUUCAAUCGUUGGACUGCGGGAGAUACUGUUAGGCUAGGGGGCGGGAGAAGCCGACGGUAUUUCCGGGGUAGAGGUAAAAUCCUAUAAUCCCGGGAGGACCACCAGUGGCGAAGGCGGCCGGCCAGAACGCGCCCGACGGUGAGGGGCGAAAGCUGGGGGAGCGAACCGGAUUAGAUACCCCGGUAGUCC